rnacentral:rRNA from 1 species
CGUAGGUAACCUGCCCAUGUGUCCGGGAUAACUGCUGGAAACGGUAGCUAAAACCGGAUAGGUAUACAGAGCGCAUGCUCAGUAUAUUAAAGCGCCCAUCAAGGCGUGAACAUGGAUGGACCUGCGGCGCAUUAGCUAGUUGGUGAGGUAACGGCUCACCAAGGCGAUGAUGCGUAGCCGGCCUGAGAGGGUAAACGGCCACAUUGGGACUGAGACACGGCCCAA